CCCUUAGAUGUUCUGGGCCGCACGCGUGCUACACUGAGUGGAUCAGCGGGUCAGGUUGCGCGAAAGCGUUUCCUAAUCUUUAAAUCCGCUCGUGAUGGGGAUUGACGGUUGCAAUUUUCUGUCAUGAACGAGGAAUACCUUGUAAGCGCGGGUCAUCAUCCCGCGCUGAAUACGUCCCUGCCCUUUGUACACACCGCCCGUCGCUCCUACCGAUUGAAUGCUCAGGUGAGCCAUCCGGACUUUCAUCAUGCUGGUUUCCAGUUUUGAUGAAGGAAAGUCUUGCGAACCUUAUCAUUUAGAGGAAGGAGAAGUCGUAACA
rnacentral:rRNA from 1 species